rnacentral:rRNA from 1 species
UCCGUAGGCGGUUUCAUAAGUCUGUGGUUAAAGCCCGGGGCUCAACCCCGGAAUCGUCAUGGAAACUAUGAAACUUGAGGUGUGCAGGGGCAGAUGGAAUUCCAGAAGUAGGGGUAAAGUCCGUAGAUCUCUGGAGGAACACCAAACGCGAAGGCAUUCUGCUGGGCACUACCUGACGCCGAGGGACGAAAGCGUGGGGAGCAAACG